GACAGAGGGUGCAAACGUUGCUCGGAAUUACUGGGCGUAAAGGGCGUGUAGGCGGGAAGGCAAGUCGGGCGUGAAAUCCCCGGGCUCAACCUGGGAACUGCAUCUGUGACUGCAUAGCUAGAGUACGGUAGAGGGGGAUGGAAUUCCGCGUGUAGCAGUGAAAUGCGCAGAUAUCAGGAGGAACACCGGUGGCGAAGGCAAUCCCCUGGACCUGUACUGAACGCUCAUGCACGAAAAGCGUGGGGAGCAAACAGG
rnacentral:rRNA from 1 species